rnacentral:rRNA from 1 species
UGGGGAAUUUUGCACAAUGGGGGAAACCCUGAGGCAGCGACGCCGCGUGAUUUAGAAGGCCUUCGGGUUGUAAAAAUCUUUUGUAUGGGAAGAAAAUGACAGUACCAUACGAAUAAGGACCGGCUAAUUACGUGCCAGCAGCCGUGGUAAUACGUAAGGUCCGAGCGUUGUCCGGAAUCAUUGGGCGUAAAGGGUACGUAGGCGGAUAAGCAAGUUAGAAGUGAAAUCCUAUAGCUCAACUAUAGUAAGCUUUUAAAACUGCUCAUCUUGAGGUAUGGAAGGGAAAGUGGAAUUCCUAGUGUAGCGGUGAAAUGCGCAGAUAUUAGGAGGAAUACCGGUGGCGAAGGCGACUUUCUGGCCAUAUACUGACGCUGAGGUACGAAAGCGUGGGUAGCAAACAGG